GGCGAACGGGUGAGUAAUACGUAGGUGACCUGCCUUGAAGACGGGAAUAACCGCUGGAAACGGUGGCUAAUACCCGAUGGUCUCACUGAUUCAUUUCAGCGAGUAAAGUCUCUAGGGGCGCUUCGAGAGGGGCCUGCGGCCCAUCAGCUAGUUGGUAGGGUAAUGGCCUACCAAGGCAUAGACGGGUAGGGGACGUGAGAGCGUGGCCCCCCACACUGGCACUGAGACACGGGCCAG
rnacentral:rRNA from 1 species